rnacentral:lncRNA from 1 species
UUCCGCCUUUAAUUGUUAAUUGCAUGCUUAUAGAUGUUGCUUAAAUGAACAUGUUUUCACAAAAUAUUCCUUCAUGGACAAACAUAUUUCUCGAUAUUAUUAUUCCUACUAUGUCAAAAUGAAAAUGUGACGUAAGAGAAUAAAUUUGUUAAGAAGCGAAGAAUUGUUGAAGUACAAUACAUUAACUAAAUGAGCACCCUUUUCUUGGUAAACUCAUUUCAGAACAAAUAUUAUAUCACAACCUACUGCGUAUACUACAAUACUCAUACCCCACAUGCCCGGAUAUAACGUUGACGGUCUACAGUUGCGUCAAUGUCAAGUUUCAAAUCAUUCAACAAAUGUUCUUGUUUUAGUUAUUCAGACUAAAGAAAAAAAGAUUAAAAAAAUAUAAAAGAUACGGAGCUGUGCAAAAUGAACACACUUUUACAAAGUGUAGCAUGUGCAUAACAACUUGAACCAAAAGGCCAAUAAGAGUCAAUCUAGAGUCUUUCAUAAGCCUAUGUCAACCUCGUUUUGUAAACAAUUUGGGCAAUACGUCGUAGUGCAGUUUUUCAUCAUUCUAAGCUCUGACCCGGAAACAAUGAACGUAUGACUGUUACCAAGAAUAUCGCGAUCAUACGAGUAGCCAUAUAGCGGACAAUAGUUCCGCACAUGCUUGAAUCGGGACGAGCAACCUAAGUUUCUAGAAAAAUAAGCAUUACACAUCAAUAUGCAGUGUAGCUGCAAUAACCGAAAAUAAUGCAAAGGUAAAGGCCAAACAAAUAUA